rnacentral:lncRNA from 1 species
AUGAUCUUUGACAACCUGAAUAUAACGUAUGAAGGAAUUUACAUUAUAUUAUUUGACAUUAAUGUAAAGCCAUGUGCAGUCAUACAGCAUAUAUAUAAUUUUAAAGUUAUAUAUAGUAAACUAGUCAACUUUAAUAUAUUAUUUUCUGUAAAGCUACUUUUAAACAAUAUGUAUGGUGAAAAGAACUAUAGAAAUGAAUUUGAUUUGGUACCUUUACAGCAGAACUACCAGGAAUAUCUCAGGGUCAAAAGGUUUUUUAAAGCAUGUUCUGGAUGUUGUAAUGAUUUGACCUGUAAACUUUUGUUGAUCAGUGACUGUGUUCAUCAUCACUGAUGCUGAGAGAUAGAGUUGCACAAAUGAAUCGUUUAAACCGGUUAGGGCUGGUUACCAUGACUACAUGACUGGCUUCAAUCACAGAGCAUUCAGAGCCCAAAAUCUUCAACAGUGUUUGGAUGAUGCUGGUUACUGCAGUGACUAGUAGCUUACAUCAUCACAUGGGCAUGACAUGUCUGUGGGUGAAACCAGUUUAAAUUUAUGUUCUUAGAAUUCUGAGAUUAUUUCUCAUCUUUUUGAGUUUAUAUCUCGUAAUUCUGAGUUUAUAUCUCAUAAAUCUGAGUUUAUAUCUUAUAAAUCUGAGUUUAUAUCUCAUAAUUUUGAGUUUAUAUCUCAUAGAACUGAGUUUAUAUCUCGUAAUUCGAGUUUUUUCUCACUAUAUUUCUCAUAAUUCUUAGUUUAUAUCUCAUAAAUUUGAGUUUAUAUCUAAUAAAUCUGAGUUUAUAUUUCAUUAUCCUGAGUAUUUCUGACUAUAUUUCUCAUAAUUCUGAGUUUAUAUCUCAUAAAUCUGAGUUUAUAUCUCAUAAAUCUGAGUUUAUAUAUCGUAAUACUGAGUUUAUAUCUCAUAAAUCUGAGUUUAUAUCUCAUAAUUCUGGGUUUAUAUCGUAAAUCUGAGUUUAUAUCUCAUAAUUCUGAGUUUAUAUCAUAAAUCUGAGUUUAUAUAUCGUAAUACUGAGUUUAUAUCUCAUAAAUCUGAGUUUAUAUUUCAUUAUCCUGAGUUUUUCUGACUAUACUAAGUCUCAUAAAGGUCUGGAGUUUAUAUCUCAUAAAUCUGAGUUUAUAUCUCAUAAUUCUGGGUUUAUAUCUCAUAAUUCUGAGAUUAUAUCUCAUACUUCUGGGUUUAUAUCAUAAUUCUGAGUUUAUAUCUCAUAAAUCUGAGUUUAUAUCUCAUAAAUCUGAGUUUAUAUUUCAUUAUCCUGAGUUUUAUCUGACUAUAUAUUCAUAAUUUUGAGUUUAUAUCUCAUAAAUCUGAGUUUAUAUCUCAUAAUUCUGUGUUUAUAUCUCAUAAUUCUGAGUUUAUAUCUCAUAAUUCUGGGUUUAUAUCGUAAAUCUGAGUUUAUAUCUCACAAUCCUGAGUUUAUGCUGAGUUUAUGGUUUAAACAAAUAACAUUAGUAUAGUGAGAGGAUUUGAAGAUAAAAUGACAAUAGAAUAUGAAAGAUAAACCAAUAAAAGCAAAAAGUCUUUUGUUCUGAGCAACAGAACUGUUGGCAUUUCUCUCUACACAAAAAAAAAAAAAAAAACAUGAAACAGCACACAAACAACUAAAUCUAAUCCUUGAGAACAGGCCAUCUGGCUCUGCUGAAGAUGAAGCCACUGAAGCUCAAUGAAGCCACUCCAGAACGCCAAACACUCUGCUGUUGCUGAAUGUUGAAGAUGUUUAUGUAGAACGUCUGAAAUAGUAUUUUCUCAUAAAACAUACUCCAAUAAUCUUUGUAAGUUACUUUUUUACAAAAAAAAAAAAAAAUAAAUCUUUUUAACUAAAAAAAUAAAAAAAAAAAAAAUAAAUAGUAAAUGCAUUAUAGAUACAAGAUCUUUUUUUUCACAUUUGUGGCAGAAACAAGCUUCCAUAGGAAAUUGAAGAGUGUCCAUACAAGGAAAGUUCAGCAUAAGGCAACAACAGGCUUCAAACUGGGUAAGAUGGACACUUGGCACCGGACCACAGGAACCCACGGCGGGCCGAGAGCCAGAACCUUACGGGGCCACAAAACCUUCUGCUGUCCAGAACAGAGCUCACGGCAUCAGAUCCUGAGAUACUGCACACUCACAUGGGACACAAACAGGAUUUGAAUGAACUGAAAACAAAUAUCUUAAUGCAAUGCGAGCUUCUUUGGAUAAAAGCACCUGUCAAACGCAUAAAUGUAAAAGUAAAAUAAAUAUUUCUUUGUGAUGCCAUUACAUUAGAAACAAUAUACCAAAGCAAACUGUAAUUAUUUGCUAAAUAAACACUGCAAAAAUGAUUUUCUUAAUAUUUUUUUUUGUUUUCCUGUACAAAUGUCUAAACAUUCUUGUUUAUGUUUAUUAACAUACGUGAUGCACAAGAUAUUAUGGUUUGUUUUCUGGAAAAAAUGCAUCAUAAUUAAUCAUUUUAAGUUUUAAAUAAGAACAAAUAUCAGAAAAAUAAACUAGUUUCCCCCUUUGAUUUGAUUUGUAAAAACACUUUAAAAUAAGCUUUAUGUUUUGGAAAAGCAUGCAAAUUAAUGCAUGCAUGUUUAACUAAAUAAUUACAGGUUUGCAUAUUUAAUCAUAAUAUUUUA